UACAGGGGGUGCAAACGUUGCUCGGAAUCAUUGGGCGUAAAGCGCGCGUAGGCGGCCACUUAUGUCGGAUGUGAAAGCCCUCGGCUUAACUGAGGAAGUGCAUCCGAAACUGAGUGGCUAGAGUACGAAAGAGGGUCGCGGAAUUCCCGGUGUAGAGGUGAAAUUCGUAGAUAUCAGGAGGAACACCGGUGGUGUAGACGGCUUUCUGGACCGUAACUGACGCUGAGACACGAAAGCGUGGGUAGCAAACAGG
rnacentral:rRNA from 1 species